UAAACAACUCUCGGCAACAAAUAUCUCGACUCUCGCAUCGAUGAAGAACAUAGCGAAAUGUGAUACUUUGUGUGAAUUGCAUAAUCUUGUGAACCAUUGAGUCUUUGAACGCAAGUUAAUCCAAAAACCAUUAGGCCGAGGGCAUGUCUGCAUGUGGGUCACAC
rnacentral:rRNA from 1 species